GGGGGCGGGGGGGGGCAGGAGCAGCGCGUUGUGGCCGGUCCGCACUCCAGAGCCGCCUCCCCCCGCGCGGCCCGGCUGCGCUAGAGUCCGAGACCGGGACUGGCCUCGGAGGUGAAUCCGGGCGACCCCUUUCCCUGGAAGCUCGUGGGCACGUGCAGGCGUCGCUGGUGCUGCUCGUUUCCCCUCGCCCGUGCUGCCUGCCCUGCUGGACGCGGCCCAGGUGUACGAGUUAAGGUUGGUUCAAUACUUAGGUUUCUGCAGUAACCUUAGCAGUGGUGUUGGUUGUGGUACGCACCACGUGGACUCACUGAAUCAGAUGCGUCAGCUUUUGUAAGCAUCUGGCAAAAAUAAACUUUUUUUUACAGCAACAUCCCAAAUAAAGAGACCUUAUAAGAUUG